rnacentral:rRNA from 1 species
UAUGGCGACCGGCGCACGGGUGAGUAACACGUAUCCAACCUGCCGUACAGUACUCGGGGAUAGCCUUUCGAAAGAAAGAUUAAUACCCGAUGGCAUAGUUCUUCCGCAUGGUAGAACUAUUAAAGAAUUUCGGUCAUCGAUGGGGAUGCGUUCCAUUAGCUUGUUGGCGGGGUAACGGCCCACCAAGGCAUCGAUGGAUAGGGGUUCUGAGAGGAAGGUCCCCCACAUUGGAACUGAGACACGGUCCAAACUCCUACGGGAGGCAGCAG